rnacentral:rRNA from 1 species
AUUGAACGCUGGCGGCAUGCUUUACACAUGCAAGUCGAACGGCAGCGCGGGCUUCGGUUUCGCUGCGAGUGGCGAACGGGUGGGUAAUGCAUCGGUACGUGGCCAUCUGCGGGGGAUAGCGCGGCGACAGCGGGAUUAAUACCGCAUUAGACCAUAGGGCGUAAGGGGGGAGGCGGAAGGUCUUGCGACCUUGCGGUGGCCGAUGACCCGAUGUCGGAUUAGCUAGGUGGCGGGGUAAAGGCGCACCAAGGCGACGAUCCGUAGCUGGUCUGAGAGGAUGAUCAGCCACACUGGGACUGAGACACGGCCCAGACUCCUACGGGAGGCAGCAGUGGGGAAUUUUGGACAAUGGGCGCAACCCUGAUCCAGCCAUACCGCGUGCGGGAAGAAGGCCUUCGGGUUGUAAAGCGCUUUUGUUGGGAAAGAAAUCCUGUGGGCUAAUACCCCGGGGUGAUGACGGUACCGGAAGAAUAAGCACCGGCUAACUUCGUG